rnacentral:misc_RNA from 1 species
AAACAUUUCCUCUCUCUCUCGAUAGAUAUGGAUCCGGUAAACGUUUGGGGCAAUACUCCCCUGCACACGGUGGACCCAGAAAUCCACGACUUGAUCGAGAAGGAGAAGCGUCGCCAAUGCACCGGAAUCGAGCUCAUAGCAUCCGAGAACUUUACUUCUUUCGCUGUCAUUGAGGCACUUGGCAGUGCCCUCACUAAUAAGUACUCCGAGGGAAUGCCCGGGAACCGUUACUACGGUGGCAAUGAAUACAUCGAUGAGAUCGAGAACCUCUGCCGGUCCCGCGCUCUCCAGGCUUUCCACCUCGACCCCACCAAAUGGGGAGUUAAUGUCCAGCCUUACUCCGGUUCUCCGGCUAAUUUCGCCGCCUAUACUGCGGUUCUCCAGCCCCACGACAGGAUUAUGGGCUUGGACCUUCCUUCUGGUGGUCAUUUGACUCAUGGGUACUACACAUCUGGUGGGAAGAAGAUAUCCGCUACCUCGAUUUACUUCGAGAGCUUGCCUUAUAAGGUUAACUCUCAAACUGGGUACCUUGAUUAUGAUAAGUUGGAGGAGAAGGCAAUGGAUUUUAGGCCCAGGUUGAUUAUCUGUGGUGGCAGUGCUUACCCGAGGGACUGGGAUUACGCUAGGUUCAGGUCUGUUGCGGACAAGUGUGGUGCGCUCUUGCUUUGCGAUAUGGCUCACAUUAGCGGUCUCGUUGCUGCUCAGGUACAUAUAUUGUUCUUGUUGGAUCUCUGUUCUUAACUUGCGUGUGCUUGAUUGGUUUUAUUGGAUCUGAUUUGUGUUUGGCUUUUGGUUGUUUAGUGGGUGCUAAACUGCGGGAGAUUGGAUCUUGCUUUUGUGUAUUAUAGCUUCAUUUCCAAAUUAUAGAUCUGGGUUCUAAACUUCUAUUAGAUUGUUGUCUAUGGGUGAUUUCUUUUUUAUUUUAUCUUUGUUAGAUAGAAUAAAGGUCUGGGCUCUGAAAGAUUUACUAUUCCUUUACUCUGUUCUCCAUUUUUAAUGAAAAUUGAAAGUUUUAAAUUGUUGAGUUCAUUGAUUAUGUCUUUUCUUGUUUGUUGUGUAUUGUGCAUUUUACUUGGGGAAGGAAAAUGUACAUAGCCAUAAAUUUUUAUGUUGGAUUCUUAGCAUAUUUUUUGUAAUGUGGAUCCCUCAUUGCAAGACUCGAGCUAGGAGCUGUGGAACAUGAAAUGGAUUGAUUAAAUGAAAUAUAUUCUUGGUGAGUCGUACUUUCUAUUUGCGUAACUAAGAUAUGUCAUACAUGCCAUUGGAAGAUCUGGUUAUGAUGGAAAUGUAUCUAGUUUAUGAAUUAGAAAUAGACCUAAAUUCCCUUGUUAAUUGAUUUUAGUUUAAAAUGUGCUUCAGGAUUACAGCUUCAAAUCGAUAUCCUAAUAAGUAAACUUGCAUCACGUUAUUUGUUGAUAGAUAAUCAUUUUGAGCGUGAAAUCUGGUGUAGUAUUGAAAUAUUUUGAAGAUCUCAGCUUUUUUAAAUUUAUGCUAUUCUUUCUGCCUUUAGGAAGCUGCCAACCCCUUUGAGUACUGUGAUAUUGUCACAACCACCACCCACAAAAGCUUGAGGGGUCCCAGGGCUGGUAUGAUCUUCUACCGGAAGGGGCCUAAACCAGCCAAGAAGGGCCAGCCAGAGGAUGCAGUUUAUGACUUUGAAGACAAGAUCAACUUUGCAGUUUUCCCCUCUCUUCAGGGUGGUCCCCACAAUCACCAGAUUGGUGCUCUGGCUGUUGCAUUGAAACAAGCCAUGACCCCUGGGUUCAAGGCUUACGCCAAACAAGUCAAGGCAAAUGCAGUUGCCCUUGGAAACUACUUGAUGAGCAAGGGAUACAAGCUAGUCACUGCAGGAACUGAGAACCACCUUGUCCUGUGGGAUCUUCGGCCUCUUGGAUUGACUGGCAACAAGGUUGAAAAGUUGUGUGACCUUUGCAAUAUCACUGUAAACAAAAAUGCUGUGUUUGGUGACAGCAGUGCUUUGGCUCCUGGAGGUGUAAGAAUCGGGACCCCGGCCAUGACUUCAAGAGGUUUGGUUGAGGGGGACUUUGAGCAAAUUGCAGAAUUCCUCCACCGUGCUGUAACCAUCACUUUGAGCAUCCAGAAAGAACAUGGAAAGCUGUUGAAGGACUUCAACAAGGGUCUGGUGAACAACAAGGACAUUGAGGCUCUCAAGGCUGAUGUUGAGAAGUUUGCUUCCUCCUUUGACAUGCCUGGUUUCCUGAUGUCCGAAAUGAAGUACAAGAAUUAGGUCUAAAUACUUUAUAUUAUUUAGCUUCUGAGUCAUUGAAAAUCUACUUCGCUGGAAAGAGAAAAGUGUUUCUUCAAUCUUUGUUGGCUUUUUUGGUCUUGUAGAUUAGCAAUGAAAUUUUCAUUUCAUUUGAAGUUUAUUGUUGGUCCUCAUGUUUUGUUAUUGGGGUAGGAUGUUUCAUCCUCUCAAUGACUUGGGAAUGUAUUACUUUCAUAUUGUCUUUUGAUUAUGUGGUUAUUCCUCAAUUAAUUAAGCAAUGAGUUACUGAUUUUUUAAACUUUC